rnacentral:rRNA from 1 species
AGAUUGAACGCUGGCGGCAGGCCUAACACAUGCAAGUCGAGCGGUAGAGAGGUGCUUGCAUCUCUUGAGAGCGGCGGACGGGUGAGUAAUGCCUAGGAAUCUGCCUAGUGGUGGGGGAUAACGUUCGGAAACGGACGCUAAUACCGCAUACGUCCUACGGGAGAAAGGCGGGGGACCUUCGGGCCUCGCGCCAUUAGAUGAGCCUAGGCCGGAUUAGCUAGUUGGUGAGGUAAUGGCUCACCAAGGCGACGAUCCGUAACUGGUCUGAGAGGAUGAUCAGUCACACUGGAACUGAGACACGGUCCAGACUCCUAGGGAGCAGCAGGUGGGGAAUAUUGGACAAGUGGGGA